UUUUUGUAGAGGUGGGGUUUUGCCAUGUUGCUCAGGCUGGUCUCGAACUCCUAGCUCAAAGCCUUGGCCUUACCAGGAGGGAGCCACCGUGCCGCGCCAGCUAAAGUUCUUGAUAUAGGUUCUGGCACAUAGUAUAUGUUUAAUAGAUAUUUGUAAUUCUGAUGAUUUCAGUUAUGUACCAUUUACAGGCGUUUGUAACCUUUUUAGCUAACAAGGUGGGCAUUUAGGGAACUGAUUAUGGAAAGCAUUGCUCAGAAACCAGGACUGGUUCUGCGACGUCUUAACGAGGUGCGGGUGGCCAGUGUUUUCCCCAACUGUUGAAAAUCUGUUUAGAGGUGGGAGGGCAGUCUAGCCUCAGGAGGAAUAGGAAACCUUCCUUAUGUCUAAUUUCAGUGUCAGUCUGCUAUUUCCUACGCGGAACACCGCCCCAAACUAAUGUCUACGUUUAACUCAACUGCGGUAAAUUUCCUUCCACGGCACUAUUAACCUGGCCCUGCCCACAUGUCCGCUCCCGGUUGGUGUGAAUGCUCCAGGGUUAGCUCAAACCUCAGCGAUUUUCCCAGCCGAUUGGCUGUGCAAAUAGACAAUCCUUUUACUUUUCUGAUUGGUCGCACGUGGCAUGGAGGACGUGGGCGUGUCUCGCCGGAACUCGCUGAGCUGUCAUUUGAAGACGAACAGGGUAUUGCCAGAGCUGCGUGGCGUCGCCUACGGCGCUCCCUCCCUCCUAGGCCUUUACUAUCCUUUGCAUUGGUCAGAUUUGUCGUCACUCAUAAAACUUCUAGCUCAUUGGUGCAAAAGCUCCAGGAGGCGGUGGGUGAUUGGUUGGUUGCUGUUCCUAUCUCCUCGCCGGUUGUGGUUUAGCUGAACUGAGCCGAAAUCCUAAAGGCCGCGGAGUCGGCGGUGAUGUAGGUAGCGGUGCCUUGAGUGGCAACAGGUGAAUCUCCGGCUCACCUGGGGCGGCAGCACUCAAGACCUGGCUGGAUCUCCACUUCGCCUGCGGGCCAGAAACCGGAGGGCGGCGGUGGCUUGCGGAAAGGUAUUGGGCUCCGCUGUUCCUUCUUUGCCCUCUCGACGGCCGGAGCAGCGAGGAACCGAAGGAGGCUUCGUAGGUUCCACGCAAGGCCCUCUCUCUGCUCUUCCAGGGGCGCACAAGUUGAGAAGGAGCGGCCUGGCGGCCCAGAAUUCAAUUACAAUGGGAAACAUUUUUGAAAAGCUCGUUAAGAGUCUACUUGGGAAAAAAGAGAUGCGGAUUCUUAUAUUGGGUUUGGAUACAGCUGGAAAAACGACCAUCUUGUAUAAAUUGAAGCUGGGGGAGACUGUGCCUACCAUCCCUACAGUAGGUUUCCAUAUGGAGACGGUAGAAUAUAAAAAUAUCACCUUCACAGUCUGAGAUGUUGGCAGCCACUUCAAAAUGAGACCUCUGUGGCGGCAUAUUUUCCAGAACACAAAAGGUCUGAUUUUUGUGGUUGACAGUAAUGACAGAGAGCGGAUUGAUGAGGCCCGGGAAGUACUAACUUACUUAUUAGAGGAUGAUGAGCUCAGAAAUGCAGUUUUAUUGGUAUUUGCCAAUAAACAGGAUCUCCCUAAUACUAUGAACGCGGCAGAGAUAACAGACAAGCUCGGCCUCCAUUCCCUCCGCUACGGAAACUGGCACAUUCAGGCUACUUGUGCCACUACCGGACAUGGGCUUUACGAAGGCCUGGACUGGCUCGCCAACCAGCUCCAGAACCAGAAUUGACCAGAAGGAUCUAUUCUUUGUGCCUUGUGGCCACAUCGGCUGGCCUCUGCUGCGUGCACGUGUACCUGUGUGCUGGGAGUGGAGGCAGCUUUCUCACAGUGCCUUAUCCAUGCCAUAAGAAAAGCAGUGUUACAUUUUAAGAAACCCCGUGUUAAGUUUUAAACACCACCUUCCAUUUCAGUAGCUUUGAUGAUCAUUUUUGCAGUUGACGGAGAAGUCCAGAGGGCUUGCUAGUGCUCGAAGGCCACAGCAGGCUUCAUGGUGGAAAGGAGGAGGAGAGUUGGAGUGGGAACUGAGUUCAGCUGUUGCAAUCCUGGUCUGGCAUCUGGAGUCCUGUUAGUCUUUGGUGUCCUUUCGUAAAAAGGAAGGAAUUGUCAUUCUUUUUUUUUUUUUUAAACCAUAUUUUUACUGUACCUUUUCAUGUUUAUUUUUUAUUAAAAAUUUUCUUUUU